CCCAGGUUAAAAACAAACGUAUCUGAAUCUGUUUCUUCAUCUUAUAAUAGAAAUCUUGCAGAACUGAUGAGAGAAAUAAACAUUUUAUCUAAAAGACUUGGAAAAGUACCUGGUACAUAGCAGGUAACCACUGAAUGGCAGCUAUAAUUUUAUGUUUUUAUCACCUACCUUCAAGAAGCAGACACUCAAGAGUUAGCAAGCAACCAUUAGACAUAGUGGGCAGAGCAACCUUUUCUUUUAAUUUUAUGAAUUACAAGAGUUAGAAAGAGAAGUAGUGGCUGCUUGUAGGCAAUAGUUUUCACAACAGUACUGUAAAACAAACCAGCUCAGCCAAGUCAGCUGUAAUAAUUGAAGCUAAAGGAUCCUGAGGGAGAAUUUGCCUGAACCUCUGCAAGCUCCCAAUAUCAUUCCAGCAGAUCAAAAAAUGACAGGAUGAGACAACUGUAUGGAAAAGGAAAAAGGAAAUGCUGACCUUGAACAGGAUGAACUGAGCCACUGUGGUAGAACAUCAUAGAAACAUGCUGAUGGUGAUGAAUUAAAGACAUAAACCAAGGCCCCCGGAUACUGAAAAAUUCAGCACUUCUCUAACCUGACUGCUUUCUACACUGUUGGAUUCCAACUCCCUAGCAGGGAAUCAACAAACAGCCAUGGGAACUGAAUUAAAACAAGUUAACUCACA